rnacentral:tRNA from 1 species
AGGAUAAUAGUUUAAAAAACAUUUAAUUUGCAUUUAAAAAUUAUUGAAUUAUCAAUUUAUCUU